rnacentral:rRNA from 1 species
GACGAACGCUGGCGGCGUGCCUAAUACAUGCCAGUUGAGCGCUGAAGGUUGGUACUUGUACCAACUGGAUGAGCAGCGAACGGGUGAGUAACGCGUGGGGAAUCUGCCUUUGAGCGGGGGACAACAUUUGGAAACGAAUGCUAAUACCGCAUAAAAACUUUAAACACAAGUUUUAAGUUUGAAAGAUGCAAUUGCAUCACUCAAAGAUGAUCCCGCGUUGUAUUAGCUAGUUGGUGAGGUAAAGGCUCACCAAGGCGAUGAUACAUAGCCGACCUGAGAGGGUGAUCGGCCACAUUGGGACGGAGACACGGCCCAAACUCCUACGGGAGGCAGCAGUAGGGAAUCUUCGGCAAUGGACGAAAGUCUGACCGAGCAACGCCGCGUGAGUGAAGAAGGUUUUCGGAUCGUAAAACUCGGUUGGUAGAGAAGAACGUUGGUGAGAGUGGAAAGCUCAUCAAGUGACGGUAACUACCCAGAAAGGGACAGCUAACUACGUG